rnacentral:rRNA from 1 species
CCGUGGGGCGACUUGUCUGGUUAAUUCCGUUAACGAACGAGACCUCAGCUUGCUAACUAGGUCGCGCCAAUGCUCUGUACGGGUUGUGGAAAUUGGUGGCGACGGGGCUGGUUUUCAAUCGGUUCCGCGCACGGCCAGUGGACCGCCCGAGUCGAUUGGCGUUUGCCCGUGAGGCGUCGCCGGCGGUUUCCGCCGUUGGUGGCGCCGAGCGGGACGAGACUUCUUAGAGGGACUAAUCUGCUUUUAGCGA